rnacentral:lncRNA from 1 species
UUUUUUUUUUUUUUUUUUUUUUUGUCUUUUUGCCAUUUCUUGGGCUGCUCUCACAACAUAUGGAGUUCCCCAGGCUAGGGGUUGAUUCAGAGCUGCAGCUUCCAGGUCUACGCCAGAGCCAUGGCAACACGGGAUCUGAGCUGCAUCUGAAACCUACACCACAGCUCACGGCAAAGCCAGAUCCUUAACCCACUGAGCAAGGCCAGGGAUCAAACCCACCACCUCAUGGUUCCUAGUCGGAUUCAUUAACCACUGAGCCACAACGGAAACUCUUGGCAAUAAGUCUUUGGCCUCUUAAAGAUGUCAGUCCAUUGAUCCUCCACCCUUCCACCCCCUAACAAACAUUACUUUUUACUUAGCUACAUUGGGUCCCAUGUUUAACCAGCUUGGAUUUCAUGGUUCAUCAUUAUAUUCAUUCCUUUUCAAGCACAAUUAGCUGCCUUGGCUCCCAUCUCUCUCGGUUGAUUUCACUUAACAAAAUCCCAAACCUGCUUGAACUCAAUUAUUUGAGUCUUUGGUACAGAGAAUCAAGUCAUUUAAUAAAGAAACAAUACAAACAGCUGACUGAUUUCUCUUUAAAUUCAUGACCACAGACCGCAAAUGAGUGCUCAAUCCAACCUGACAAUCCUAAAUGUUUCCCUGUUCAUGUUCAUAUUCUCAGAGGUAAAAGUCCUAUUUUUUCCUGUUAUCUCAAACUCCUCCACUCUACCCAUUUUUAUUUUCUCUACCCAUGAUCUUAUAUCAUACGUCAUUGUGAAUACAGGAACCAUCAGAGGGGAUUUAUUUUGUUUUCAUUCCAACAAAUAUUCAUACCUCUGAAUCUAUACUCACCUCAGCCUUCUUUUCUGUAAAAAUUGAAAAGGUAUCAUUUUUCCUCUCAUGGGCAAUUCUAACUCUUUAACACCUAUUGUUUCUCAAUAUUUUGCUUCUUCAGUUAUUCCAUUUGUCUACUGUGCAUCAUCAAAUUUUCAUUCUCUGCAUACCAGUCUACCAACAUACAUUAGUAUUUUCUACUUUAAAAAAAAAAAACUAUGACUUCCUCUAUCACCCCACCUCUGACUUUUUCAUAGCAAUUAUGCAUAUACACAUUAACACAGAUACAUAACUGUUUUUUAUAAGAAAAUGAUAUUGAAUAUUUACAAUAAAAAAGCAUUCCACUCCCCCACCCUCUCCAUCCCAACUAUCUUCAACAUUUCUAGCUUUUUGAUGUCUGUCUCCACAUUUCUGAAUAAUAUGUUUGUAUUGCUACUUUCAAGUAACAUGCUUAGAUACUAAUGAAUGGUAAAUGAGAUCCUCUACUCAUAUGUUGUUACUUUAACAUUCCCAGUUCACCUUGUCUCCAUCUCCAAAGCUACUCCUCUAAUCCUAAUGGCCAUUAUCUACUAAAAUAUCUAAGUGGAUAGUUAAGAGAGUAAAGGGCCACUCUUGCUGCUACAACUAUCCAUGUUCAACAUAGCAACUAGAACAACCUUGUAAAAAGCAAAUCAGAUUGUAUUAUUCUUUGGUAUAAAAACUUCUAAUGGUAUCCUGCUUGGAAUUAAAGCCAUAUAUUCUGCAUAGCCCACAAGGCUCUAGAUUGAAAGAUAUUCCUUGGCUGUCUCUUUAAUCUAAUUAUCAACCCAGCCUCUCACUAUAAUUCAGCUACAACUAAAUUCAAAUUUAGUACUUUACUAGUAACAAAACCUGUUUCACCUUAGGGCCUUUACACUCGUUCUCCUUCCUAUUCUUCUCAAGGUUCUUGCCACAGCAGACUCCCCUUCACUCUUCCAGUUGCAGCUCAAAGCCUUCUCUGACCAGCCCACCGCCCUUUCCAUCAAAGUAUGUCUCUCUUAUCCUCUCUCUGACAUUACCCUAUCUUUCCUUUAUAGAAACCAUCCCAAUUUAUAUUUAUUUCCUUAUUCAUCUGUCUCUUCUUCCCCUCCCACAAAUAAGAAUGUCAAUUUCAAGUAAGAAAAACCUUUGUCCAUCUUAACACUACUUUCCCUGAAUCUAGCCCUAGGCCUACAAGAAAUACUUGAAUUCUACAAUCUGGGAACUAAAUAUAAAUUUAACUAGCACACUAAAGUAUAUACAGUAUGCAGCAGGAGGGGGACAGUAAAUAAUAGUCCUUUGAAAUCUCCUAAGGCAUGUGUUAAUUGACCCACUUUCUAGUCAGUGAUCAGAAAAUUUGGUUGUGACCAAUUUGGAUUCUCUUGUUCGGAAUCCUCCAGAGCCACUUCCAACAAGGGACACCUAAAGUUCUUCAUUAGGGCAAGGUGCAGAUUCUUUUGUAUUGGAAAACAGGAGGUGUGUGAGAGGUUGAUAGUCUGUGGUCUGAAUCUGUCUUGGAGUUUUUACAGCAUGCAAUUGCUCUACUGUGAAAGACUGCCUGCUAAUUUUCUUUUAGGGAGAUUCCUUUUGUAUUUAGCUAAGACUUUAGUGGGUCUGUUUUUUCUGUAAGUUGUCAAUUCCUCUGGACUUCUGUUUCUUAGCAACAGUUGGGACUCUAUCCAUGCCCAUUGUUCUCUACUUUAGCCACAAAGCAAACGAGAGAAAAAGUAGGCAUCGCAGCUUGCAGUCUGCCAUUUAGUAAUAUUCCCAGAUACAUAGUACAUUGAUAGUGUGAAGGAUCAUCACACUUUUGUGAAGCAUAAGAGGGGAUGGGCAAAGGAAAAUGUUUUGGAGGGAGCUGAGGAAUUGAAGUUCCCUGAAAACCAUUUUUUCCUUGUAUAAAAUCCUAUUCCAGUCAUUAAAAUUUCACUUUUUAUUAUUCAAUGUCAAAACUUUAGUGUAAGAAACUGGUGGAAAAAGAUUAUGUUGCAAUUCAAUGAACCCCUUGUGUAACUUCUUGAUCUGAUGGUACAUUCUCAGACUGCAGGCAAACUGACCUGCAGUAAUUGUUAAAUUUGCCAAAUUUGGCACAAUUCACCCCAAUCUACCGUCAUCUAAGAACUUUGUUUAGAAUUCCUCUCUUUUCUAAUGUUCUUUUCAAAACUCCACACACAGAAUGCACUCAAUACUUUUAAUACCUGAUUACCAGGAACUCUAGGUCCCACCUCAAUGACUACAUUAGUCUGAAUUCUAAGACAACGGUGGAGAAAACCUGAGUAAAAGAUUCACUACUGCUAAUGGUUCCCAUCUUAGGGCAGUAGUCUUUAUUGCUUGCUAACAAACCUCGAUUUAGCCAGUUUCAUUUUCUCUGAGCUUUGUUAUUUGCAUCCCUAUUCAUAAUCAAACUAGAGCAGGACUUCUUAGUUACAAUUGGCUGACCCAUUUAAGCAAAGAUGAGAAAUUUUAUUAUAAGUAUAAAUUAUGAUAAUUCAAAGACAGGGAGCAGAUACAACCUCCUCAAGGAACUGAGAUCAGGAACUAAAAAACUAUCUGGAGCCAA